rnacentral:tRNA from 1 species
GGGAAUAUAGCUUAGUGGUAGAGUGCUUGCCUCAUAGGCAUGAGGCCCUGGGUUCGAUUCCUCAGCACCA